rnacentral:rRNA from 1 species
UGUUAGGGCACGACACCGGAGAGGGAGCCUGAGAAACGGCUACCACAUCCAAGGAUGGCAGCAGGCGCGCAAAUUACCCAAUCCCGACACGGGGAGGUAGUGACAAUAAAUAACAAUACAGGGUUCUUUAGGAUCUCGUAAUUGGAAUGAGUACAAUUUAAAUCUCUUAACGAGGAACAAUUGGAGGGGGGUGUGGUGUCUCGUGCCGGCAACCGCGGUAAUUCCAGCUCCAAUAGCGUAUAUUAAAGUUGUUGCAGUUAAAAAGCUCGUAGUUGAAUUUCGGGGUUAGUAGGUUGGUCAUGCCUCUGGUAUGUACUGGUCUCACUGAUUCCUCCUUCCUGAUGAGCCGUAAUGCCAUUAAUUUGGUGUUGCGGGGAAUUUGGACUGUUACUUUGAAAAAAUUAGAGUGUUUAAAGCAAGCUAACGCUUGAAUACAUUAUCAUGGAAUAAUGAAAUAGGACGUUCGAUCCUAUUUGUUGGUUUCUAGGAUUGACGUAUGAUUAAAGGGGAUAGUUGGGGGCAUAGUAUUCAAUUGUCAGGAGUGAAAUUUCUUGGAUUUAUUUGAAAAACU